rnacentral:rRNA from 1 species
AUUGAACGCUGGCGGCAGGCUUAACACAUGCAAGUCGAGCGGAGAUGAGGUGCUUGCACCUUAUCUUAGCGGCGGACGGGUGAGUAAUGCUUAGGAAUCUGCCUAUUAGUGGGGGACAACAUUCCGAAAGGAAUGCUAAUACCGCAUACGCCCUACGGGGGAAAGCAGGGGAUCUUCGGACCUUGCGCUAAUAGAUGAGCCUAAGUCGGAUUAGCUAGUUGGUGGGGUAAAGGCCUACCAAGGCGACGAUCUGUAGCGGGUCUGAGAGGAUGAUCCGCCACACUGGGACUGAGACACGGCCGAGGCGCCUACGGGAGGCAGCAGUGGGGAAUAUUGGACAAUGGGCGGGAGCCUGAUCCAGCCAUGCCGCGUGUGUGAAGAAGGCCUUUUGGUUGUAAAGCACUUUAAGCGAGGAGGAGGCUACCUGGAUUAAUACUCUAGGAUAGUGGACGUUACUCGCAGAAUAAGCACCGGCUAACUCUGUGCCAGCAGCCGCCGUAAGAC